UCGGAACGUGCCCUGGAGUGGGGGAUAACGCAGCGAAAGUUGCGCUAAUACCGCAUACGAUCUAAGGAUGAAAGCGGGGGAUCGCAAGACCUCGUGCUCCUGGAGCGGCCGAUAUCUGAUUAGCUAGUUGGUGGGGUAAAGGCCUACCAAGGCAUCGAUCAGUAGCUGGUCUGAGAGGACGACCAGCCACACUGGAACUGAGACACGGUCCAG
rnacentral:rRNA from 1 species